UAAAAUAAAUGUUUUUUUCCUCAUGUAGUUUUAUUGGUUUAAUUCUUAUAUUUUAGGCAGCAAAGGUAAAACACAUAUCAAUGCCUUCGUUAUUCUAACAUUUGUGCUCCUUGCCUCGAAUCUCAUUCUUCAAGUCGCUUAGAAGAUUGAUAUUCUUACUUAUUUAUUGUCACCCCCAUCAACGUUACAUCCCAAGCAUUCGCAAAGUCAUAGAAUUUGGCUCUUUGGUUGCCGUGGAACCCCGAGUAAUAUACACCCUACUAGCAUCUCUCUCUCUAAUGUAGAUUUUUAUCAAUUUGUUUAGUGUUUAAGUAUAAUAUGUCUUGAUCCAACCAACUAAAAUUCCAGUCACAUUACGCAUUUAGUUCCCCCGGUUAAGUGCCAGGGAACCUCUUGACCCGAAUUCCAUUUUAUAAUCACAGACCUGCUACUUUCAAAUUAUCGUCACCUGUUAUACAAUUCAAGGUAAUAAGCACAGGCUUGAGAAAUCCAUACAGGAAUGUAGCUUGUAAGACCAAUUCCUCAUGUGAGGGAAGUUGGCCUUGCAUAUAAGUUUGAGAACCUGCUGAUUUGAGUUUUUGAUGAUGCCAUAUCAGAUUAGCAAGUUGGAAACCGAGGCUCAAUUUCCAACAUGAUUGUUGUUUACUCAUUUUGGAUUAUCUAGCCAAGGCGUUAGACUUUCUUCAAAUUGUUUUGCUUUUUCAUACGCUGCUGUCGAUAAAUUAAAUAGCUGGGUCCAGCAGCGACUAAUGUCUUCUUUCUCCGGCCGACGACCUAGAAGGAUGUAGCUAAACCAAAUAAAGGCAACGAUGGAAGAGCAGUAGAAGACAACAAUAUUGAGCGCUGCAGAGAAGAGAGGAAGAAGGCCUAUGAAAUUGAGCGCUCAAAUAUUGCUCCACGAACUCGAAACGAUUUGGUCACGCUCAGCGAAGGUGCACCAUAGCUUGGUGGUGAUGAAGAACUCAUCACGUGAUUUGACGAGGCCGAGACUCAGAGCUUCGGCUAUGGCUUCCCCAAGAGGCUGCUCGGAGCCGUAGGCAAAGGCGGUGUCGAAGUGGUGGUAGCCUGCUUUGAUGGCUUCAAGGACUGCUGCUUUUGUGGUCUCUGAAUCAACCCUUGGGUCUGCCACGGUUCCCAGGCCGAUGGCCGGUAUUGUCUUGCCGGAGCAGCCCAAAGGUACCUCAGGUACGACGCCCAUUUUCUUGCUCAACACUUUGAGUUGUAAUUUCUCUGUGAAAAAGUCCUCGAUGUACGCAAAUUUAACGGUAAGUGUGUAUAUAUUUGUACUAGUAUAAAGUGGCAGAAAAUCAUGUGCAUUGACUGGCUUCUCGUUUGGAUCAUGAGAGCUGUGAUGUUGGUCAAUUUGGGUGGCCUUAUUUUUUUCAUCGGAUUCGUGCGAAUUUUCUUGUUCAAAAGAGGGACAGGACCAACUUUUGUCGGUCACUUGUGGUGGCCUUAUUUUGUUACAUUCAAA